AUUUUUCCUUCUAUGGUAGGUGAUUUUUUGUCUUAUUAUUUGUUUAGUGAAUUUUUCUGCAUAGAUGUACAUGUACAUAGCUCAAAAUUCAAAAGGGAUACACUGAUAAUUCAGUCUCUCUUCCUCCUACACCUGUUCCCCAGCCUCCCUCACCUCCCUCCCAGAUGCAGCCAGUGUUACAUGAAUCUUUGCAGAGAUUUUUCUAUGCAUGUAUGAGCCAUCACCUAUUUUUGAUUCAUUCACUCGUUCAGCAACUAUUUGUUGAGCACUGUGCAUGUGCUGGGCUCUGCUGUAGGCACGGAGCUGUAGCAGUGGACAGAACAAAGACCCCGCUGCCGUGGAGCAGGGGUUAGACCGCAAAGAUCUCUCUUCCUCCCCCCUGCUCCCUUCUUAUACCCCCAGUUCUGUGCUUUUGUUAAACCUGAACUUUAUAUCUUCAAGGGUCUUCCAUGCCAGUUUGCGUAGCAUUGUCUCUUUUUAAUGAUGGUGUUUCAUUUCAUCACGUGGAUAUACCAUAGUUUCUUUUGCCAGUAUCUGGUGGAUAGACAUUCAAAUCGCUUCUGCGUUUUUUUUAUUUGCUGUUAUAAACGAUGCUGCAGUGUUCUUGUAUACAUUUCCUUUUGCACUUGUGAGAGUAGAUCUGACAAUUUAUUGGCCAAUGUAGCUAAAAUAUCCAGAGAAGUGGACAGGCAGGGCCAUAUUCAGGUGCACGAACCAUGUCAUUUGGACCUGGUCUGUGAGUCCUGCUUUGCUCUGUGUUGGCUUUAUUUUCAGAGAUAAGAAGGCUUAUUAAGUCCUUAUUCUAUUAUAUUAACUACACACCUACAAUGUGCCACAUGUCUUAGAUGCUGGAGAUAUAGCAGGAAGAAAACACACCCAAAUCCUGGCCUGCAUGGAGCUGAUAUUGUAAGAUACCCCACACCAUCAGUCAAAGGGGGCUGUUCUGCGCAUCGUGGGAUGUUCAGCAGCAUCCUGGACUCCUCCCACUAGAUGCCGAUAUACCAUGUCAGCAAGAGGAAGCCUGGAUAUGCCGUGUGUGUUUUUCUAGUGGUGAUUGUUUCUUCAUUAGAGCCUACAAAGUCGGUAUGUUUUAAAAUCCAAAACUGGAACAAAAUGAAAGCCGUCCGUGAAUCUUGGCUGAGUUUGGGCCGUAAUUCAUUCAAGUAGCUCAUUACGCAUCGGAAUUACCCAACUGCCGAAGCUUCUGAACAGCAGGCAAUUCUAGAGCUUCACUUUCAACUUUCUGCUCUUAUUGAUUUAUGAAACCUUACUACCUUCAAAAUCAUGAAAUAUUCCAGGCAUGCAAAGAGGCACAGAGAAUAUUUUAAUGAAUAUCGUGCACCCACCACCCAACCGAGGAAAUAAAGCCUGACAGUUACAAUCGA